CGCUGGCGGCGUGCCUAACACAUGCAAGUCGAACGGAGAUAAAGAUUUCGGUUUUUAUCUUAGUGGCGCACGGGUGAGUAACACGUGAAUAACCUGACCCAAAGAGGGGGAUAACACCUGGAAACAGGUGCUAAUACCGCAUAAGACCACAAUGUCGCAUGACGAAGGGGUCAAAGAAAAUCGCUUUGGGAGGGGUUCGCGUCCCAUUAGGUAGUAGGCGGGGUAACGGCCCACCUAGCCAACGAUGGGUAGCCGAGCUGAGAGGCUGAUCGGCCACACUGGAACUGAGACACGGUCCAGACUCCUACGGGAGGCAGCAGUGGGGAAUAUUGGGCAAUGGGCGCAAGCCUGACCCAGCAACGCCGCGUGAGGGAAGAAGGUUUUCGGAUUGUAAACCUCUGUCGCAGAAGACGAAGGAAGUGACGGUAUUCUGUGAGGAAGCCCCGGCUAACUACGUGCCAGCAGCCGCGGUAAUACGUAGGGGGCGAGCGUUGUCCGGAAUUACUGGGCGUAAAGGGAGCGUAGGCGGUCUGAUAAGUUGGAUGUGAAAUACCCGGGCUUAACUUGGGGGGUGCAUCCAAUACUGUUGGACUAGAGUACAGGAGAGGAAAGCGGAAUUCCUAGUGUAGCGGUGAAAUGCGUAGAUAUUAGGAGGAACACCAGUGGCGAAGGCGGCUUUCUGGACUGUUACUGACACUGAGGCACGAAAGUGUGGGGAGCAAACAGGAUUAGAUACCCUGGUAGUCCACACCGUAAACGAUGAGCACUAGGUGUCGGGGUCGCAAGACUUCGGUGCCGCAGUUAACGCAUUAAGUGCUCCGCCUGGGGAGUACGUACGCAAGUAUGAAACUCAAAGGAAUUGACGGGGACCCGCACAAGCAGCGGAGCAUGUGGUUUAAUUCGAAGCAACGCGAAGAACCUUACCAGGACUUGACAUCCCUCUGAAACCCCUGAUAACGAAGGGGCCUCUACGGACAGAGGAGACAGGUGGUGCAUGGUUGUCGUCAGCUCGUGUCGUGAGAUGUUGGGUUAAGUCCCGCAACGAGCGCAACCCUUGCUGUUAGUUGCCAUCAUUGAGUUGGGCACUCUAACGGGACUGCCGGGGAUAACUCGGAGGAAGGUGGGGAUGACGUCAAAUCAUCAUGCCCCUUAUGUUCUGGGCUACACACGUGCUACAAUGGUCGGUACAAAGAGCAGCAAGACCGCGAGGUGGAGCAAAUCUCAAAAACCGAUCCCAGUUCGGAUUGCAGGCUGCAACUCGCCUGCAUGAAGUUGGAGUUGCUAGUAAUCGCGAAUCAGAAUGUCGCGGUGAAUGCGUUCCCGGGUCUUGUACACACCGCCCGUCACACCACGGAAGUUGGGGGUGCCCAAAGUUGGUCAAAAAAUAGAUUACCUAAGGCAAAACCAAUGACUGG
rnacentral:rRNA from 1 species